rnacentral:rRNA from 1 species
GGCGAACGCUGGCGGCGUGCUUAACACAUGCAAGUCGAACGGAAAGGCCCUGCUUUUGUGGGGUGCUCGAGUGGCGAACGGGUGAGUAACACGUGAGUAACCUGCCCUUGACUUUGGGAUAACUUCAGGAAACUGGGGCUAAUACCGGAUAGGAGCUCCUGCUGCAUGGUGGGGGUUGGAAAGUUUCGGCGGUUGGGGAUGGACUCGCGGCUUAUCAGCUUGUUGGUGGGGUAGUGGCUUACCAAGGCUUUGACGGGUAGCCGGCCUGAGAGGGUGACCGGCCACAUGGGGACUGAGAUACGGCCCAGACUCCUACGGGAGGCAGCAGUGGGGAAUAUUGCACAAUGGGCGGAAGCCUGAUGCAGCAACGCCGCGUGCGGGAUGACGGCCUUCGGGUUGUAAACCGCUUUCGCCUGUGACGAAGCGUGAGUGACGGUAAUGGAUAAAGAAGCACCGGCUAACUACGUG